ACGGGCGUAGCUCAAUUGGUAGAGCGCUUGUCUCCAAAACAAGAGGUUGCAGGUUCGAGACCUGCCGCCCGUG
rnacentral:tRNA from 1 species